rnacentral:miRNA from 2 species
UGACUAGAUACAUACUCGUCU